AGAGUAUCAUGUUUAAUGUCCAGGUUGCAAUCGAGACUACCCAAACCUGUUUCCACCAGCCGGGCAACUCCAAUGCAGUCACUUCCUCACCAAGACCUAACCAGCUUUCCCACUCUGUGCAGGCUGGCUGGAUUGUUUAAUACCUUCAGAGAAGGUAUUAGAUUGCUGAGUGCUGGGGCUGGUAGGAUUGUCUACAAUGAUUGUGUCAUGCCAGUGGUUCUUCCCAUGCUCAAAAGUGUUGCUGGAAAGUUUGUAUGUGCCUAAAGGAUACUUCCUUGUCAGCAAUACACGAUCUAGAUACGGGUGGCCAAACCAAAAUCCAUCCACAAAGGGGCCAAAGCGCAGCAUGCUACCAACUGGAAAUCUGGUCGUGGCUCGAAAAGGUGUGUACUCA